rnacentral:rRNA from 1 species
CACCAGCGCCACGAGUGGGAGCCAGCAUUAUUGGGCCUAAAGCGUCCGUAGCUGGCCAAGCAAAUCUCUUGUGAAAUCGUCUCGCUCAACGAGACGCCGUGCAGGAGAGACUACUUGGCUUGGAACCAGGAGGGGUCGGGGGUAUUCUUGAGGGAGCGGUAAAAUGUUAUAAUCUCAAGAGGACCACCUGCGGCGAAGGCGCCCGACCAGAAUGGAUUCGACAGUGAGGGACGAAAGCUAGGGGAGCGAACCG